AGUCGAGGGGCAGCAUAAUGGAUAGCAAUAUCUAUGGUGGCGACCGGCGCACGGGUGCGUAACGCGUAUGCAACCUACCUUUAACAGGGGGAUAACACUGAGAAAUUGGUACUAAUACCCCAUAGUAUCAUAGAAGGCAUCUUUUAUGGUUGAAAAUUCCGAUGGUUAGAGAUGGGCAUGCGUUGUAUUAGCUAGUUGGUGGGGUAACGGCUCACCAAGGCGACGAUACAUAGGGGGACUGAGAGGUUAACCCCCCACACUGGUACUGAGACACGGACCAGACUCCUACGGGAGGCAGCAGUGAGGAAUAUUGGUCAAUGGACGCAAGUCUGAACCAGCCAUGCCGCGUGCAGGAUGACGGCUCUAUGAGUUGUAAACUGCUUUUGUACGAGGGUAAACGCAGAUACGUGUAUCUGUCUGAAAGUAUCGUACGAAUAAGGAUCGGCUAACUCCGUGCCAGCAGCCGCGGUAAUACGGAGGAUUCAAGCGUUAUCCGGAUUUAUUGGGUUUAAAGGGUGCGUAGGCGGUUUGAUAAGUUAGAGGUGAAAUUUCGGGGCUCAACCCUGAACGUGCCUCUAAUACUGUUGAGCUAGAGAGUAGUUGCGGUAGGCGGAAUGUAUGGUGUAGCGGUGAAAUGCUUAGAGAUCAUACAGAACACCGAUUGCGAAGGCAGCUUACCAAACUAUAUCUGA
rnacentral:rRNA from 1 species